UUGAGGUGGUGGGCCGGGCGGCAACCUCUCCGCUCCUUCUCGCCCCGCGGGCGGCUGGGGCCGCCUCUGCACCCGGCGCGCGCGGGCCCUUUAAGAGCUACACCAGCCGAGCUGCAGUUUGACAUCAGCCGGCCGGCGAGGGCGCGCCUGGAGCCGGAGCACGUGCCAGGAUGUUUUAUUGCCGCCGCGGCUGCGGCCGGGCGGGGAGGAUGUGUGUGUGCGUGCGUGUGUGAGUGUGUGUGCGCGCGCCCCGGGGGCAGGGAGGCGGGGGGUGGCGGCGGGCGGCGGAGCGCGGGGGCUGGUUCUUGGUCCCCGGGAGAAGCCAAGAAGGAAGGCGACUGUGGAGGCAACCUCCUUGAAGGUGGCAGUGAGUCUUCAAAGAGUCGCUUCGAUGGAUGGAGGCCAAGGUGACUUCGGAUGUGGACAGGACAUCUCAUGAGGAGACCCUGCUUGGCUGGAAGGUUCUCCUAGCAUUGACUUGGUUGUACUAAGAAACGUGGGCAUCCGGUGUUGUUCUUCAGGGUCAUCGAAAGCCAAGUCCGCAGAUGAUUUGGAGCAUGUGGGGCUUGCUGUAAAGGCUGCCUGGGAGAGGGCAACCCCCCCUCCACUGCUCACACUGUCCCCAGCCUGCCAGUGGAACCAAAGACUGCAGAUCUCCACUGUGCCUUACUCCCCAUAACUGGGACCUCGUCUCACAUCCCUCACCCACAGCCAGCCCACGUGGGACAUCGAGUAGGUGCUUAGUAACUACUUGCCGAAAGGAUUGGUGAAUGAAUGGCUUGUUCGCCUCUGUGGGAGGAAUCACAGAUGUCCCCGUCUCGAAGGGCCUUCCCGGGACUGACUGGAGCUUUGUGAAUGCUGUGAGCUCUGUGUGUUCCUUUUAUGAGCUGGGUUGGUUACGGCCGGUGCAGGUCAUCCCAUGGUAUGGGUUCACCUGUGUCCCCUUAAAAAAGAUAUCGAAGUCCUAACCCCUAGUACUUCAGAAUGGGACCUUUUUUUGAAAUAUGCGUUGCGAGAGGUUUGCAGAUGUAAUUUGCUAAAAUGAGGUCAUGAUGGAUAGAGUAGGGUGGGCCCUUAAUCCAGGGGGACUGGUGUCCUCCCAAGAAGAAAAGGAGACAGGCACACAGGGGGACGACAGUCAUGUGACGAUGCAGGCAGAGAUGAGGGUUGCACCCAGAAGCCGAGCGGUGCUGAGGAACGCCAGCAGGUGCCAAAAGCUAGGGGAGGCAGGCCAGGAUUCUCCCCUCUAGAUUUCAGAGGGAGCUGGGCUCUGCUGACUCCUUGAUCUCAGACUUACAGCUCCCAGAACUGUGAGGCAAUACAUUUCUGUUGUCUUUUUUUUUUUCCCCAAAGAUUUUAUUUGUUCAUCAGAGAGA